rnacentral:rRNA from 1 species
UACGUAGGGACCGAGCGUUGUCCGGAUUCAUUGGGCGUAAAGAGCUCGUAGGCGGCUGCUCAAGUCAAAUGUGAAAACUCGAGGCUCAACCUCGAGCCUGCAUUCGAUACUGGGCGGCUAGAGUCUGGUAGGGGGAUCUGGAAUUCCUGGUGUAGCGGUGGAAUGCGCAGAUAUCAGGAGGAACACCGGUGGCGAAGGCGGGUCUCUGGGCCGAUACUGACGCUGAGGAGCGAAAGCUAGGGGAGCAAACGGG